CCAAACUCAUCAAAUCAAAUGGAAAACAUCUCUUACAUUGAAUUAAAACUACAACACAUGCAGAUCAACACAGACAACAAGACACAAAAGAGAAGAAAAAAAAUGAGAAUACAAAUGACUUUUCCCUACAUAUUCUUCACCAUUAUUUCAUCAACAAAAGGAUAUAGCCCAAAAUGGUGCAUUAGGUAGAAGAAACUGAGACAGAGAUG
rnacentral:lncRNA from 1 species